CACUAAGUCAGGGAGGCCAGGGCGGGCAGCCCAUUCAUCGUCCUCACCGCGCUGUUCCUUCCGGGCCCUUGGCUGGAACGCUCAGGAUGCCCCACCGCUCACUCCCGGUGCACAUGUGCCCCAAGGCAUCCGGAACGGGUGACCUCAGGCCCACCUGCAAAACCAAGAGCGCUGGCGGGCUCUCUGUGGUGUGCAGGGGGCUCCCAGGCAACCGAGAGGAGAAACCGAGACCCAAACUCACUGCUCCUAAGAUCCCAGAAGGGGAGAAAGUGGACUUCGAUGACAUCCAGAAGAAGCGUCAGAACAAAGACCUAAUGGAGCUCCAGGCCCUCAUCGACAGCCACUUUGAAGCCCGGAAGAAGGAGGAGGAGGAGCUGGUCGCUCUCAAAGAGAGAAUCGAGAAGCGCCGUGCAGAGAGAGCGGAGCAGCAGAGGAUUCGUGCAGAGAAGGAGAGGGAGCGCCAGAACAGACUGGCGGAGGAAAAGGCCAGAAGGGAGGAGGAGGAUGCCAAGAGGAGGGCAGAGGACGACCUGAAGAAGAAGAAAGCUCUGUCUUCCAUGGGAGCCAACUACAGCAGCUACCUGGCCAAGGCUGACCAGAAGAGAGGCAAGAAGCAGACAGCCCGGGAAAUGAAGAAGAAGAUUCUGGCUGAGAGACGCAAGCCGCUCAACAUCGAUCACCUUGGUGAAGACAAACUGAGGGACAAGGCCAAGGAGCUCUGGGAGACCCUGCACCAGCUGGAGAUUGACAAGUUCGAGUUUGGGGAGAAGCUGAAACGCCAGAAAUAUGACAUCACCACGCUCAGGAGCCGCAUUGACCAGGCCCAGAAGCACAGCAAGAAGGCUGGGACCCCAGCCAAGGGCAAAGUCGGCGGGCGC
rnacentral:misc_RNA from 1 species